AUACCCACCUUGUGUGCAUCGUUAAGAGUCUUUUUGUCUCUCUUUUAGAGAGGCAUGAGAUCUCUUCUAAUUAAUUUACCUUUAACUAGUUUGUCUGAAUCAUUGUAUCAUGAAUAAACAUAAUUCAAAAUACAACUUUCAACAACGGAUCUCUUGGCUCUCGCAUCGAUGAAGAACGCAGCGAAAUGCGAUACGUAAUGUGAAUUGCAGAAUUCAGUGAAUCAUCGAAUCUUUGAACGCACAUUGCGCUCUCUGGUAUUCCGGAGAGCAUGCUUGUUUGAGUAUCAGUAAAACACCCUCAGUUCUCUUUUUGAGGAUUGGACUUGAGUCAUCCCAACGGCGGUUUCGAAACCACUGGCGGGUCACUUGAAAUGCAGGUGCGGCUGGACACAUCUUCUGAGCUAUAAGCAUUACUUAUUUAGUCCCGUCAGACGGAUUAUUUCUACUGCUACAGCUAAUAUAAAGGUCGAUUGUCCGUUUGCCCGACUGAUGCAGAAAAAACAAAGAGAAAUCUUUGUUCACUCGAUCUCAAAUCAAGUAAGACUAACCGCUGAACCUAAGCAUAUCA
rnacentral:rRNA from 1 species